rnacentral:rRNA from 1 species
AUGGUUAGAUGAAAAAUUYACUUUCUUUUUUUUAUAUUAUAAAAUUUAAUUUUUGGAUUAAAAAGUCUAAGUUAAUUUAGAGGACGAGAAGACCCUAUAGAACUUUAUUUAUAUUUUUUGUUUGGUUUUUKGUAUUUAAAUAUUUAUCAAAGAAGUAUAAAUUUUAUUGGGGUGAUAAAAAAAAUUUUUUAACUUUUUUUCUUUUUAUCAUUUAUUUAUGAAUUUUUGAUCCUUUAUUAUGGAUAAUAAGAUUAAGUUACCUUAGGGAUAACAGCGUUAUUUUUUUGGAGAGUUCUUAUCGAUAAAAAAGUUUGCGACCUCGAUGUUGGAUUAAAAUUAGUGUCAGGGGUAGAAUAU